rfam:Nematostella vectensis strain CH2 x CH6 NEMVEscaffold_40_Cont6582, whole genome shotgun sequence.
CCUUCGAUAGCUCAGUUGGUAGAGCGGGGGACUGUAGAUUUGUAAUUGUGAUCCCUAGGUCGCUGGUUCGAAUCCGGCUCGAAGGA